GUAAAAUCUGAUUUAGAACCGUGAGGCUAAAACAAACAGUGAAGCUUGUUAGAUCCUAAAUGCAAACGCACCAGAUAUCCAUAUCAUCAGCCAUCAGGUGACCAAAGCUAUCAUUUGAAAAUAUUGUUAGUUAUUUCUAUGAAAUGAGCUUUGGAGUAAAAUUCAGUUCGCUUGGUGUGUCGACGCUUUUCUAUGCUGAGAGCAUCUAUCUGUUGGAUAAAAGUGUCGAGAUAUUACUAAAAUCUCACGUUCACUGCACGUGAUGGUAGCUAAGCAACCCAUGACUUCAAAUUUUGGGGAAAAAGAAAUACCGCCCCCAUAUAACUCCAAUGUUCUCAUCAGUUCACAUUCAAGCCUAACUUUGUGUCAACUCUACAUUGUUGCUGAAAAGUCCUACCUUUCUCACAGAUCUACUCUAAAACCUCAAUGGAGUUUGAGGUUCUUUCACCCUCUUAUUCGUUUAUCUACUCACCAAUUCUAAUUCUUUCACCCUCUUAUUCGUUUAUCUACUCACCAGUUCUAAUUCUUUCACCCCCCUGUCAUGUUUUCUUUGUUUUUCUAUGAAACUUGUAGUUCUAAUUCAGCUAUGUGCUCUCAAAUUUUAAAGCGCUGAACAAGAAAUUUUUGAGAUUUUUACCUUGCAACUAAACCUCAUGAUGACUUCCUACCAAACUUUCCUGUUUCAAUGUUUCCCCAAAUAACUUUAUCUUCAGCUUAGGAUAUGAUGAAACGAAUUUUGUUAUUCGACUCCCUAAUGCUAAAGUCCAAAGAUUGGUUGUCCAACGUGAUAAGGUGCAAAAGCAGCAUGAAGGCCAAGACAGUUGAGCUACAUAUGAGCUACUACCAUCGAUCAUCUAUAUAUAUAUAUAUAUAUAGUAUAUAUAGUACAUCCUAGCUAGUUAGUUUUUCUAGGUUUUAGUUUUAAUUUCUUGGGUUUGAUUUAUGAUGUUGUUUAGGACUGUUUGGUUAGGAUUUCGGUUAGUGAUAUAGAUGCAUGUAUGUUUGGAUUCUGGUUAGUAACAUACGUGUACGUACUAUGAAAUUCAACUACUUAAGUUUAUGUAAGUUAAUUGAAGACCAAUUAUUCAAA